CUGUGAAUUAAAAUUUGAGGACUCAUAGUUAAGAAUCUUCCGACUUAGUUAAGAUAUUAACUAAAAGAUUUGUUUAUAUCUUAGUCGCGUACUGUUUAUUCCACACAUUUGUUUUUUUGAGGAAGUGCUAAAGUGGAGUUAUGUGAUUAUUGUGCAGUUAAACAGCCCUGAUUUGUUUGAUAUGUAUUCAGCUGGGAUUGUACUUCUUCAAAUGGCAAUUCCAUCCUUGAGGUCUUCUGCUGCUUUGAAGAAUUUCAACUUGGAACUAAAAAACUGUGGAUAUGAUCUGAAAAAAUGGAGGGACUAUACUCGCAACAGGCCUGACUUCCAAAUUCUAGAUGGUGAAUCUGGUAGAGGGUGGGACUUAGCUACAAGGCUUGUAUCUGAGAGAGGUUCCCUACGAAGAGGACGUUUAUCUGCUGCUGCAGCUCUGAGACAUCCUUAUUUUCUUCUGGGUGGUGAUCAGGCAGCUGCAGUACUUUCAAAACUAAGCUUAAGCAGAAAGUGAGCUGCAUAGCAAUCAGCAGCAGGAGGAUGAGGAGGAGGCAUUUGAAUUCAAAGGUGUUCCACAGCCAGCCAGCCAGCCAGCCAAACAUGUGAAUUGAGUACCAUCAAUUAUAAGAUUUUGUUCCAGUUUCUUUCUUCUUUUUUUUUGUGUCUGGGUUUUCCUCCCCAAGUUUAAAUCAAGGGGAAAUUUUCUACUCAAUUUCAGUCAUUCGAUAAGCCUGAGGAUAUCAAAGCAUACAGAGGGAAAAAUUAUUGCUACAGUAUACAUUUAUGUCUUUCAUGUUACGUAUAUGACAAAAAUUUCAAACAGGAUCACAUAGUGCUUGUGCGAGCUUAAUCAGUUAUCUCCUAUGGUUUCUUUCUACAAAAGGUGAAUUCUUGAAGAUCGGUUGAACCUUAUCUCUAAGACCGUAACUUUGAGUUAUAUGCUUGAAACAGAACUUACAGCCAAGUAGUGCUGCAUUCUAUUGACACUUACCAGAUGAAGUUACUUACUUACAUCCAGGAUGAUAUUAUGUAUUUAGUUCCAUUCCGUAUAGUUCUAUCAUCUGAAUAGUAUUCUUGUACGAAAUUGUGCUUCUUGUUGCUUACAAGAGUUGACACUGAUAUAAUAACAUAGUUCUUCACACCAAAA